rnacentral:lncRNA from 1 species
AAGAGAUAUAUAUAUAGAAUUGGCUUACACUCGCCACAAGCUACAUCAGAGUCACAAUAGUACAAUACAUAAUCAUCAUGAAGAAGAGUAGGGUUCGACUACGGAUGAAAACAAACGAGAAAAGAAGAACGACGUCCAUCCUUGCUAUCCCAUGCUGCCGGCCUGGAACCCAUCCUAGAUCGAUGAAGAAGAAGAAGAAGAAGAAGAAGAAGAAGCAACUCCAAAUGAACAAUCAACGCGCUCGCGUCGAGUAACCUUUACCUGUACCUACAACUGGUGUUGUAGUAAUCUGUGAGCCAC